UACAGAGGGGGCAAGCGUUAUUCGGAAUUAUUGGGCGUAAAGGGCGCGUAGGCGGCUUUUCAAGUGACGGGUGAAAUCCCUCGGCCUAACCGAGGAACUGCCUGUCAGACUGGAAGGCUUGAGACCGGGAGAGGUGAGUGGAAUUCCCAGUGUAGCGGUGAAAUGCGUAGAUAUUGGGAGGAACACCAGUGGCGAAGGCGGCUCACUGGACCGGAACUGACGCUGAGGCGCGAAAGCGUGGGGAGCAAACAGG
rnacentral:rRNA from 1 species